rnacentral:rRNA from 1 species
AGUGAACGCUGGCGGUAGGCCUAACACAUGCAAGUCGAACGGCAGCACAGUAAGAGCUUGCUCUUACGGGUGGCGAGUGGCGGACGGGUGAGGAAUACAUCGGAAUCUACUUUUUCGUGGGGGAUAACGUAGGGAAACUUACGCUAAUACCGCAUACGACCUACGGGUGAAAGCAGGGGAUCUUCGGACCUUGCGCGAUUGAAUGAGCCGAUGUUGGAUUAGCUAGUUGGCGGGGUAAAGGCCCACCAAGGCGAGGAUCCGUAGCUGGUCUGAGAGGAUGGUAGGCCACACUGGAACUGGGACACGGUCCAGGGGCCUACGGGAGGCAGCAGUGGGGAAUGUUGGGCAAUGGGCGGAAACCUGAUCCAGCCAUACCGCGUGGGUGAAGGAGGCCUUCGGGUUGUAAAGCCCUUUUGUUGGGAAAGAAAAGCAGCAGGUUAAUACCCCGCUGUUCUGACGGUACCCAAAGAAUAAGCACCGGCUAACUUCGUG